rnacentral:tRNA from 1 species
CCCUGGGUGGUGCAAAUGGUUAGCACUCUUGGCUGCUAACCGAGAGGUUGUAGGUUUGAGUCCAGCCAUAGGCC